GCACGCUCCCCCCGUUUCUCCUCCUCCUACUUCUGACCAGAGCUCAGCUCACCAGGAAGCUCUGCCUUCAGGUGGCAUCUUUGUUUCUGCCUCCAGGGGCGUAAAUUAUUUUUGUCUCCCCAGAGACAAAAUGUUGCAUUCAGCCCCCACGUGACCUUCUGGGCUUCUCCAGGGAGGUGCAGGCACUGGGCAGGGAGGUGCAGGCACUGGGCAGGGAGUGCAGGCACUGGGCAGGGAGGUGCAGGCACUGGGCAGGGGUGGCUGGUGAGCCCAGGGCGGAGCCGCCAUGUGUACCCAGUGGAGGGUCUGGUGUUUGCUAGUAACAGAAACCCACUUAGCACCAUCUCCAAACAGAAAAGGAAUGAGCCCCAGGACAGGAGGCCCCGAGGCACUCCUACUGUGGGGCUCUGGGAACUGGUCCAUCCUCCCCACUGGACAGGCAGCCCCUCAGCUCCCUAAGUCGUACCGACCAGAUAAUCCCGACACGGCACCUUGACGAGCAGCAGAGGCUGGGCCUCCCGCAGGGCUGGUAUUUCUCAGAGGAGGUUCCGUGAGGACCCAGCGGGCGCUGCAGGGGGUUCUGAGGGCCAGUCUGUUCUUCCUCCAGCGAUGGGGGGUGGGGGGAGGGGAGAGCUGAG